rnacentral:rRNA from 1 species
UACGGUAGGGUCCGAGCGUUGUCCGGAAUUAUUGGGCGUAAAGGAGCUACGUAGGCGGCUUGUCAACGUCGACUGUCGAAAACCCGGGGCUCAACUCCGGGCCUGCAGUCGAUACGGGCUGGCUUGAGUGCGGUAGGGGAGACUGGAAUUCCUGGUGUAGCGGUGAAAUGCGCAGAUAUCAGGAGGAACACCGGUGGCGAAGGCGGGUCUCUGGGCCGUAACUGACGCUGAGGAGCGAAAGCGUGGGGGAGCGAACAGG